UUUGUACCCGGGUCCAGGACUGGGGCAUGGCCACUCCCCUGGCCUGCACCCCUACACUGCUCUACAGCCCCACCUGCCCUGUAGCCCUCAGUAUCUCACUCACCCAGCUCACCCCGCCCACCCCAUGCCUCACAUGCCCCGGCCUGCCGUCUUCCCUGUGCCCAGCUCUGCAUACCCACAGGGUGUGCAUCCUGCAUUCCUGGGGGCUCAGUACCCUUAUUCAGUGACUCCUCCCUCACUUGCUGCCACUGCUGUGUCUUUCCCCGUCCCUUCCAUGGCACCCAUCACAGUACAUCCCUACCACACAGAGCCAGGGCUUCCACUGCCCACCAGUGUGGCCUUGAGCAGUGUCCAUCCAGCAUCCACGUUUCCAGCCAUCCAGGGUGCCUCACUGCCUGCCCUGACCACACAGCCCAGCCCUCUGGUGAGCGGAGGUUUUCCACCGCCCGAGGAGGAGACACACAGUCAGCCAGUCAAUCCCCACAGCCUGCACCACCUGCAUGCUGCCUACCGUGUCGGAAUGCUGGCACUGGAGAUGCUGGGUCGCCGGGCACACAACGAUCACCCCAACAACUUCUCCCGCUCCCCCCCCUACACUGAUGAUGUCAAAUGGUUGCUGGGGCUGGCAGCAAAGCUGGGUAACACCUCCCCUCCCUAGACCAUUGCCCCCCC
rnacentral:sRNA from 1 species